rnacentral:rRNA from 1 species
UACGGGGGGGGCAAGCGUUGUUCGGAAUUACUGGGCGUAAAGAGCGCGCAGGCGGUCGUUCAAGUCGAGUGUGAAAGCCCCCGGCUCAACUGGGGAGGGUCAUUCGAUACUGAUCGACUUGAAGGCAGGAGAGGGAAGCGGAAUUCCCGGUGUAGUGGUGAAAUGCGUAGAUAUCGGGAGGAACACCAGUGGCGAAGGCGGCUUCCUGGCCUGUUCUUGACGCUGAGGCGCGAAAGCUAGGGGAGCAAACGGG